CGGAGACUUUUUCGGAAAAAAUUAAAUCUUGUACCACUGUUGCGUGGUGAACUGUCACGCAAGUAUUCAUCGAAGGAUUAAAACUUCCAGCGGUGUCCCAGGGGCCACAGGGAAUCAGCAAAAAUGCUAUAUAUGAUCCUGAAUCCUGAUGCCUGGCGAAAUGGCAGGGAGAUAAACGUGACACAAAUUCAUAGGCGUUUGGCUGAAUUUUUGGAAGUUAGGCAAAUCGAUCCUGAUCCAGACCGGUGUGUUCUAUUUGCUCAACGAUUUUCCCUCUUUUUUUGUGCCUCUAUCCUCUCCUUUUUUAUCACACUCAGGCGCACAUAAAAUGUAUGAUUUUUGGUUGACUGGGGGAGCGAGGUGAGGUUGUUCUUGUGGAUGGUUCACAUAUUUCUAUGAGGUAUUGUAAACGGCAGAGAAAGAGGAACAUUAUGAUUUUCAUAUAAAUAAAACAGCAUAAAAGUUAUGUGUUUCCAAAAGGGGCGCCAAGCUGCUAAACCAUCGUCUCUUUCAGGGAUUUUCUCUUAUUCUUGCUUCCCUUUUAGUCGAAAUUUUUGCUUCCUCCACCAUCUCAAAUUCAAACACUGAAAAUGAGAAAAUAGAGGCACAUACCAAAGGAAGAAGAUAUAAGGAGUAAAUAAUGUAACAACUUGAAUAUGAAGAAUUAUUGAGGUACAGUAGUGAUCCAAAGAAUUGAUUAUAACUUAAGGCUAUAAUUUCUACAGCGGAUUAUAGGGGAUGAGAAUGUAACAUAGCAUAUUAACCAUGUUAAUAAAAAUUUUAUAUGACAUUUGUAAGGUUUUAAUCAAAUAAAUUUAAUGAUUAUGAGAAAUUGAAGAUGUAUAUUCAUUUUCGAAUUUAAAUAAAUUGGCCGGUUGAUGGGUACAUUUGCUGGCUGUAUUAACAAUUGUCGAAUUCAUCGUACGCUUUAUACAAGGUUCAAUUUUCAGGUUAUUCGAAAUAUUAUAUAAAAUGGACCAAAAAUAUUUUAAUACUUUUUUAAUUAUCAGAAAUAAUAUAUAAUACAAAUCACAAAUUUGCAUUACAUAUUAAUACGAAUUUAAAAAAUAAGACAAAUAAAAUGAAUAAAGUAAAGCAAUUUAUUAUACAGAAAUAUGUGCCUUGUUCUUGAACUCCUGAAGUGGAUUAAAGUUAUUGUAGGUUUCUCAAUGAGUUAGGUAGUAUUAUAAGCAGGUUUUAUUUUCAAGAAAAAAUAGAUUAUUUCAAGAUAAUUCGCCAAAAUAUUAUAUAUAAUGGUUAGAAAAUGAAUCCAAGAUUUUGUUUUAGAACAUAUCAUAGGGGAAACUGGGGCAAAAAGUCACAAAUCGAAAAUUUCAAAAUUCAAUAUAUUCCAAGAUAAAUAAGAUAGCGGCUUAAAAAUCUUACCACAAAUAGCUUCCAUCGCUUCCAUAAACCUUCUUCGAUGUUGUAUGUUUCUUCGAAUUCGAACAAUGAAUUUAGAAAAUAAAAAAUAUCAAAAUUUUUAGCCCUAUAUUUAAAAUAUUUUCCUUGAAGAAUAUAUCAAUUAUUACCUACUUAUUAUUCAAAAUUUAUGCACUAAUGAUUAUUUCCUAAAUGAUUUGGAUUUUUUGAAUAUGAAGCCGCUAUCUAUUUUAGAAUUUUACAAAGAUUCUUCUCUCAAUAAAUCUUUUUAUUAAAAACGACCACUUGGGGUAAAAAGUAACAAAAGGUAUGGAGCAAAAAGUAAGAAAAACCGAAAUAAUUUAUGAGGUCUCACGCCGAAAAGAAACGUCAAUGCUAUGUGUCGCCGCUUGUUGUUUGCAUUGGUCAAACUAUUUGCAGUCUUUUGUGUUUUUUUUUCUAAAAUAGCUUGAAAAUCGUUUUUAUCGUUCAGUUAGAAAAACGGUGUUUUACAAAGGUGUAGAGGAAUAAAUUUCCAAUGAAAAUAUGUCCUCUAGGUAAUUUUUUUAAUUUACAGGACUUCGUAACAAAGCGAAUCAAAACAUGAUAAUAUCCGAUGCCUGAUACUAUUUUCUUCAACACUUUUGAGAAUGGUCACAAAAUUACCUUUUAGAAAACAGCUCGAUAAACGUAUUUCCUUACAAAAUAGAGGAAAAUUACUUUCACAAAGUUGUAGAGCGAUAAAUUUCUUAUAAAACUGCGCUAAUUAGAAA